AAAAUGAGAAGAAAAAAUGGAAGAAGUCAUGAAAAGACCAAGUGUUUUUAAUUUUCUGGUCAAUCUCUUAAGAACUUUAAAGAAAUGGCUCGUGCUAGUUUUUGGAAAAAGGCAGAGAAAUUCCAGUUUCUGCCUGUCAUUUUUUCCUCCCCACUUGAAAUAAUUCAUCCAGCCCUAAAUUAAACCAUUUGAUUUGGAAACUGGGGCAGAAGGUGAGUGUUUGUGGGUGUGUUGGCAGGGGCACUCUGAGCAGAGAAAAGCUUGUGGAAGGGCAGGAUGCAGCCCCAGCACUGCAGGGUGAGCUAUACUGGGACUGCCUUUGGUAGAACCACGGCGGGUGCUGCUGGGGUGGACGAGGAGGUGAAGACGCCAGCCCAGAAAAUCUUUAAAUACUUCAACACAGGAGCUCAGCCCCCACUCCUGUUAAAUUGGGAGCUACUCCCAGCUGCUCUCCCUGGCUCUGAGGGAUGCCCUGCUCCCAGGGUCAGCAGCCUGGGCACCCAGCACCUCCCUGCCCUCUGUGCCUGGGUGUGUGCUGAACACCAAAGAGAGUGGAGGAGAAACCCUUGCUGCAGUGAGGGAUGAAGGUUUCUGCAUCCCCAUGCAUUCCUGCUCUGCACCACAUGAGUCUCUGCUCCAGGCUCUUGUCCUUGGGGUGGGCAGAGGCUUUGCUGAAUCCAUGGACUCCUGGUUGUCCACAGCAUCAGGCUCAAGACAGACCAAGCUGGGUCCUGGCACCAGAACAACCGUGACAGGUUGACAAGAUCCUGACAACCUUGCUCCAUUUGAGCCAUUACCCGGCACCAGCUGCUGAUUCCUCAUUUGCCUUCUCAAAACCAUCUCCUGAUAUGGAAACAGCUCAUCACUGCCUGUAACCAGCAGGAACACCAGAUCCUGCAGCAUCUGUUUUGGAC